CCUGAUGGCUCAGACAGUAAAGAAUCUGCCUGCAAUGCAGGAGACCUGGGUUCAAUCCCUGGAUCAGGA
rfam:Ovis aries breed Texel chromosome 8, whole genome shotgun sequence.